GUGAUUUCGAGAGUUUUGUUCCAGAUCUACAAAUGAAAUUUUUUAGACUAAUGAUUAUAGUUGUGUUAAAUACAUGUUGUGAAUUUGAGCUCGAUAUAACGGUUGAAGCGAGAGAUAUUGAGGUUUGAACAGGUCAAGGUCUCAAAAAGUAGAAUUUUAGGUCUAGCGAGGGUUUUUGAGAUUUCAUGUAAUUUACUAGUUCGAUUAGAGUAAAACUUAUGUGAGAGGGUAUUAGACUUAUUUUUCUAUGUCUUUGAGAAAUUUGAAACUAAACGAACGGCAAAAAGAAGAGAAAUUGGCUCUGGAAGUUUGGCAUCAAGAUUGGAGAAGGAGGCUGGCUAACAGCCGAAUAGAUUUUUGAGGUUUUCGUCAAUUUGGUAAUUUCGAUCCUUUUCAAAUUUUUUUUUACUUGUUUUAAACUUGAUUUUUAAUAAGUAUGCAAAUUUUGAAUUGAGAUCAACGGUUUAUUAAUUAGACAUUGAGAUUUAAAUCUGUCAUAGGAAUUAUUAGGAUUUGGAUUAGAGUUUGGCAAGGGUUCGAUUUAGGGUUUGAUUUAGAGUUUAGGGUUUGGAUUAGGAUUUGGUUAGGAUUUGAUUUAGGAUUUGGAUUAGAGUUUGGAUUAGGGUUUAGGGUUUGAUUAGAGUUUGGCUAGGAUUCGAUUUAGGAUUUGGAUUGGGUUUAGAGUUUGGUUAGGAUUUGAUUUAGGGUUUGGAUUAAGAUUUGAUUUAGGAUUUGGAUUAGGGUUUGGAUUAGGGUUUAGAAUUUGGUUAGGAUUUAGGGUUGGAUUAGGAUUUGGAUUAGGAUUUAGGAUUUGGUUAGGAUUUGAUUUAAGAUUUGAAUUAGGAUUUGAAUUAAGGUUUAGGAUUUGGUUAGGAUUUGAUUUAGGAUUUGGAUUAGGAUUUGGUUAGGAUUUGAUUUAAGGUUUGAUUUAGGAUUUAAGAUUUGGAUUAGGAUUUAGGGUUAGAUUAGAGUUUGGAUUAGGAUUUAGAGUUGGAUUAGAGUUUGGUUAUGGUUUGAUUUAAGGUUUGAUUUAGGAUUUAGGGUUUGGAUUAGGGUUUAGGGUUAGAUUAGAGUUUGGAUUAGGAUUUAUAGUUGGAUUAGAGUUUGGAUUAGGAUUUAGGGUUUGAUUUAGGAUUUGAUUUAGGGUUUGGUUUAGGAUUUAGGAUUUGAAAUAGGAUUUGAUUUAGGGUUUAAUUUAAGGUUUGUUAAGGAUUUGAAUUAGGAUUUAGGAUUUAUUAGGAUUUAAGAUUUAAUUAGAUUUUGGUCUAAAGUUUGAGUGAAAUUCAAUAGGAUUUUAAUUAGAAUUAAAUUAAGGUUGAAUUGACAUAUAUUUGAAUAAUAUUUGUGGUCAAUCUAAUAUUUUUUUAAGAAUUUUAUUAUUUGUUUGAAAUUUCUUUGAGUUGUUUGGAAUUUGAUUACCUUUGUUUAUCAUUAUUAUAGUCUAAUUAGAGCAUUGUUAGUAUUCUAUAAGAAUUAGGAUUUUGUUAUCGUAAUUUCUAUUCUUCUUUCUAUAGCAAGGUACCCGGAGCAUUCUUAACCAAGACUUCAUACAUUACAAAACCGUUAACUUUUAUCAAAAGAAAAAAAACCAACUGCAAAUUUAGUCCCGAUCUUCUGACAUCUAAAAAAUCCUAGAAUGCAAUCUAAACC
rnacentral:lncRNA from 1 species